GUGGGGAAUAUUGGACAAUGGGCGAAAGCCUGAUCCAGCCAUGCCGCGUGUGUGAAGAAGGUCUUCGGAUUGUAAAGCACUUUAAGUUGGGAGGAAGGGCAGUAAGUUAAUACCUUGCUGUUUUGACGUUACCGACAGAAUAAGCACCGGCUAACUUCGUGCCAGCAGCCGCGGUAAUACGAAGGGUGCAAGCGUUAAUCGGAAUUACUGGGCGUAAAGCGCGCGUAGGUGGUUUUGUAAGUUGGAGGUGAAAUCCCCGGGCUCAACCUGGGAACUGCCGCGAAAACUGCAUGACUAGAGUACGGUAGAGGGUAGUGGAAUUUCCUGUGUAGCGGUGAAAUGCGUAGAUAUAGGAAGGAACACCAGUGGCGAAGGCGACUACCUGGACUGAUACUGACACUGAGGUGCGAAAGCGUGGGGAGCAAACAGGAUUAGAAACCCGUGUAGUCC
rnacentral:rRNA from 1 species